rnacentral:rRNA from 1 species
AGUGGCGAACGGGUGAGUAAUAUAUCGGAACGUACCCUGGAGUGGGGGAUAACGUAGCGAAAGUUACGCUAAUACCGCAUACGAUCUAAGGAUGAAAGUGGGGAUUUCGCAAGAACCUCAUGCUCCUGGAGCGGCCGAUAUCUGAUUAGCUAGUUGGUGGGGUAAAGGCCCACCAAGGCUUCGAUCAGUAGCUGGUCUGAGAGGACGACCAGCCACACUGGAACUGAGACACGGUCCAGACUCC